rnacentral:rRNA from 1 species
AGAGUUUGAUCCUGGCUCAAGAUGAACGCUAGCGGCAGGCCUAACACAUGCAAGUCGAGGGGUAACGACAUCUUCGGAUGGUCGACGACCGGCGCACGGGUGAGUAACGCGUAUACAACCUACCUUUAACAGGAGGAUAGCCCCGAGAAAUCGGGAUUAACACUCCAUAAUAUCCUUUUACCGCAUGGUAUAAGGAUUAAAACUCCGGUGGUUAAAGAUGGGUAUGCGUGACAUUAGUUAGUUGGUGAGGUAACGGCUCACCAAGACAUCGAUGUCUAGGGGUUCUGAGAGGAUGAUCCCCCACACUGGUACUGAGACACGGACCGGACUCCUACGGGAGGCAGCAGUGAGGAAUAUUGGUCAAUGGACGCAAGUCUGAACCAGCCAUGCCGCGUGCAGGAUGACGGCCCUAUGGGUUGUAAACUGCUUUUAUUUAGGAAUAACUCCUCGGUCGUGUAUCGAGGCUGAACGUACUAAAAGAAUAAGCACCGGCUAACUCCGUGCCAGCAGCCGCGGUAAUACGGAGGGUGCAAGCGUUAUCCGGAUUUAUUGGGUUUAAAGGGUUCGCAGGCGGCGUAUUAAGUCAGUGGUGAAAUCCCGAGGCUCAA